rnacentral:rRNA from 1 species
UCUGACGGAGCAACGCCGCGUGAGUGACGAAGGCCUUCGGGUCGUAAAGCUCUGUUGUUAGGGAAGAACAAGUACCGUUCGAAUAGGGCGGUACCUUGACGGUACCUAACCAGAAAGCCACGGCUAACUACGUGCCAGCAGCCGCGGUAAUACGUAGGUGGCAAGCGUUGUCCGGAAUUAUUGGGCGUAAAGCGCGCGCAGGCGGUCUCUUAAGUCUGAUGUGAAAGCCCACGGCUCAACCGUGGAGGGCCAUUGGAAACUGGGGGACUUGAGUGCAGAAGAGGAGAGUGGAAUUCCACGUGUAGCGGUGAAAUGCGUAGAUAUGUGGAGGAACACCAGUGGCGAAGGCGGCUCUCUGGUCUGUAACUGACGCUGAGGCGCGAAAGCGUGGGGAGCAAACAGGAUUAGAUACCCUGGUAGUCCACGCCGUAAACGAUGAGUGCUAGGUGUUGGGGGGUUCCACCCUCAGUGCUGAAGUUAACACAUUAAGCACUCCGCCUGGGGAGUACGACCGCAAGGUUGAAACUCAAAGGAAUUGACGGGGGCCCGCACAAGCAGUGGAGCAUGUGGUUUAAUUCGAAGCAACGCGAAGAACCUUACCAGGUCUUGACAUCCUCUGCCACUCCUAGAGAUAGGACGUUCCCCUUCGGGGGACAGAGUGACAGGUGGUGCAUGGUUGUCGUCAGCUCGUGUCGUGAGAUGUUGGGUUAAGUCCCGCAACGAGCGCAACCCUUGAUCUUAGUUGCCAGCAUUCAGUUGGGCACUCUAAGGUGACUGCCGGUGACAAACCGGAGGAAGGU